UCGUAAGAAGAGAUUCAACCAUAUCGCCAUCGUCGCCAAAGCUCAUUUGCGUCGUCCACGGAUUUCUUCUGGAGCGCGACACACCGAAGCUUCCUCCUGCUUGAAUCUGGUGAGAAUCAUUUCCCCCAUUAGGUUUUUCCACUAUUCUUCGUAGUUCAUCGGAGUUCAUUGAAGUUCAUCGGAUCUCAUCAAAUAUUUAGUCAUAGAUCUAGUCGCCCCAUGUCCUUUUGUCACUAAUACAUAGUAUAUCCUCCGUCGUAUUCUUGUAGUACUAUAGAUCCAUAAUAUUUUACCCAUGGAAUUUCACGAAUACUUUACCUCGGGUGCUUCCUCUAGUUCUUAGGGAUUUCAUUUACUUUUCUCAUAUUUAUUAGAUCCAUUCACCGUUCUAUCUUAGGAUAAAAUGGUUUAUGCACGCGAAAAACUGCCAAGUCCUUUAGAUCUUGGGUUCACCAUUAGCUGACUUGUUUCAUUGCUUGUCAACUUAUUAUCGUGUCGGCUCAUCUAGUAAUACCGACUCGUCCAACUUGCGGGCUUAUUGGAGAAUCCUGUCACUAGCUGUUUAUCUUAAAUCCAUAGUAGAAAAACUUCUGAAAUAUCUGUUAAAUACUGGCUCAAUCUUGUCGGCUCAUAAAACUGUCUUAACACUGUCGUCCAGGUCCAUUUCAGCUCUGAUAAUGACGACCUAGACAUCUGUAUCCAGCUUGUACUUCUACUGUGGCUUAUUAAUCUCAUGACGCGGAUGUUCCUUCAAGAAAAUGCAGCUCAUCUUGUAUAAACAUAGUUUAGCCGGCUCAUGUACUUUUACUUUCACCAUGCAAUUGUCUUGUAAGAACAUUGAUAUCCCCAAAGACCGACAAAGCUGUUGGCUGGGUUCCCACAUGCAGUGCUCACACUAGACGAUCUUGUGAGCCAGGGUCUUUUGUCGGCUUAGGCACAGAUCAGCUGGUGAGCUCCUCAGGAAGAAGCUUCCCACUGACCUCAACAGGGGGAAGUUGUUGUUUUUUCAGUUGCACACAGGCUUUUGACCACGUGGAUCAAAAAAAUCAGAGACAUGCUCAACAUUUUCAACCUUAGACGUCAAGAUAUCGACCCCAACACCAUCACAAACUUUGUGAGUUCCAAGUUCUUUGCGAGGUGUAUCUCCAGAUUGAGCCAACCGUUAAUCUUUUCCGAGAGUUUUUUAUAUCAACCAUCAGAAUGAGUAAAAGAUGGACCCAGCGUAGAGCUUGGUGGAAUUUCAAUUCAGAAAUGGUAAAAUAGUGUUUUCCCUGAAGCCAAACCGGCAAGUCAUCCCAAGGGUUGGGUCAAGACUUCGUCUUGCUGUAAAAAGACUACCCCUCAAGGUGAAAACACCCUAUCGGGUUACAGUCCGGAAUGACUCAAUACUACUGUCGCUUUUCUGGGUUGGACAUCCAAUGAAGAAAAGAAUUAGAUGGCGCCUUAUUGCCUAAGGUUAGGAGCAUUGACGGCUCAUGGUCUCACCAGGUUUGAUCUAACAUGGUGUUGGAUAAGCGGGCGGAUUCAGCCCCUUAGCUUGAGGGGCGAUUUAAUGUGCAAUUAUACUGGUGACCCGGAAGAUGUGCAUCGCUUCAACCCGAUCAAUUUAUCUGAAGAUGAAGUCACUAAGAACAUGAAGAAAUUUCUGAGUGACUUCAAGGACAAGUGCAACUUGACUGGGCUCGCUCCCUUUUGCCCGACUAAUCAUGUCCCUCCAGUAAUCAUUCUUAGGCUUGCUUUUAUAUUUGUCUCUUAUAGCAUAUCUUAUUUUAGUGUACUUAUUCUCCGGCUUAACAUAUGUGUAGGCAGAUUUUGACUUGUGGAAAGUUUGGGCCCAAAAUCCUGCUCCUCCCCAAGCUGAGCAAGAGAAUGAGACGGUGGGUGAGGCGACUGCUGGAAGAGAGUCAGAGGUAGAUAUCGACUCACUUGGUCGUCUUUUUAUUGAACUUGCUGACCCUCUUGAUUUUGAGGAUAAAACCGAGACCAGCCAAGGCGACAAUGUGGACAUAAUUUGAAUCUCAUGCAACUCAUCAAAAACAUAUGUCCCGAAGAGAACGAGACUAGCCGUCUGAAAGGUUGUGUUUUCGCUUCCACACGCUCACUUAUAUCCAAAAUUUCUUUUGAAGAAAACUCAACAAACCGGCAUGUCAAAGCGCAAGACCCAGAGCAGUUCUCAGGAGUUAUCUGUAGGCUUAUCAUUAGAGACACCUUCCCCGCAAACAACGAGUCGAGGUGCCUUAUAGUCCAACUCCAUCUCGUCCAUGAUCCGGUCUUUUUAAACAACGAAUCAAUUCUUCUGAUUUGAAUUAUCAGGAAACAUUUCCUUCUUCUAGAGAAUCGACCGCAACUCAGCUCCCUGCUUUCACCAUUGUCGUGGGUAAGUAUCUUUGAGCCAUGCUUUUUUCAUUUUGUCAUCAUAGUUUCUUCUUCAACCUAAUGUUACUAUCAUGACUGUAGGGCCACUCGCAAAGAAGAAGAUCGGCGGGUCAUUUUCAGCUACUGUAGGCCCCAAUACUCAAGACCCUCAUGUGGUCGACCCACAGACCCAAGCUGAUCAUGUUAGCCAGGAUAACCCAGAUAUUGGGGUUGAGCCGGUGCAUGAAAAUGAGCCAGUUCAUGCUCAUGAACCAAUGGCAAUGGAAGAGCCAGCUCUAGGAGAAAAACAAGCAACUAGUGAUGACCCGACCCGCCACGUUUACCCGUCGAGUCCUGCUCGCACCUCCAUUCCUGUGCAGGAGGAAAAUAAUAUUGUCUCGUCUCACACGAUACAUGAUGCAGAAGUGACCAUUAUUGGAGAGGCUCAUAAAGCUCGAGAAACCUCAACUGCCCUAACUAAGGUUCUGGCCAAGGAUGAGCCGGUAAUGACAUCUAAGGGGAAAACCAAACUAUAGCUCCCAAGCUUGGACAAACUUGGUGUCAACGACCUGCAUCAGCAAUAGUUGACCCAGUUGUCUGAUAGCCAAGAUGCUGAAGUGAGCUUGAUAAGUAUGCUCAAGCGGAAAUAUGAGGUAUGAACUCCCCGUUCCCCGUCCUUUGUUAUGUAUACUCUUAUAGCCCCCAAGGGCUAGAUCAAUGCGAUAAGUAGUGAUCUGGGUCUUGUUCAGAAAUGUCUUUUAAUUUUUGAGAAGUGACAAUAGCCCCCAGGGAUUGGGUCGUUAUGAAAAUAACAAGCCAAUUCUUUAAUUCGUCUAGAUCAAUAGUGUAGAAAAUACCACCUGUAGCCCCAAGGGUCGGCUCAUCCCCUUGAGAUAACCAGGUCUUCUCAUAAGUGAAGAAAUGUCUUCCAUUAGGCCCCAAGUGCCAUGUAGAGUACUUGCAACUGUAUGGGACUUGAACAUAAAGCAAAUUUUAUGUGUUGUAUCCCCAAAGUGUCGGAUCAUCUGCUUGCGGAAUCUCGGGGCUUGUAAACAGCCUUUGAUAAUUUGUGAUGUGCAACAGAUGUUGGAUGAGGCCGAGUAGUUUGUGUCCAACUUGGAUAAGAAACUCAAGCAAGAAAGAGAGCUUAAGAAGAAAGCAAAAAUCUUGGUGGCUAAUAUGCAAGAAUCCUUACAACAGCCCGCUGGUAUCUUGCACGAGCCCAAGUCUACCUUCGAUGAAGAAUAGGCCGUCUUGCAGGAAGGUGCAUAUGUAGUAGAAAUCCAACUUGGCUCAGUAAAAGAGGAGUUGAAGACUCUCAAUAAACACAUCACCAAUAUGACUUUGGCUACAUUUGGUAUGUUAUAAUGUCAGUGUAGUUAUAAUCUCGGUUAAGUUAUUCGUUGACUUAUUGAAAUGUCUUUCCUUUGCGUAAGUAGAAGAAGUGAUAAUGCUAUUCAACAUCCGAUGUUUAAAUUGAAGACCAUAUUCACAUACCUAGGGAAGAUGCUCACAUGAUGUGUCUAUGCAAUAAUAGCAGUGAAGAAUCUCACAAAGCCUCCUCUAUGGCAAAUGAUAUGCUCAACGAUUUAUCACAGUUCUUCAAUGGAUCCAGGAAAUGAAGAGGUCGAUGGCUUGUGAUGGGGCCAACAUGGCACAUGCUCGUGCAAAGGCUUAUUUUUCUGAGAUGGAGCCAGAGGCGAUGGAGGGCGAGUUUCCUGAAUUUAGCCUUGACGUCUCAGAAUUUUCCCACGAAGAUAAGCAUGGUGUCUCAAACAAACCCGAGUGUUGGCUACUCAACUUGUGAAGUACUGGACUUGUCAAAAUAUCAAGCCAGCUACUUCAAAGAAAAUAAGCGCAUGAACUCGCCCGGCGACAAGCCAUUCGAGCUUAUGCCUCCAUAUCAUAAGCAAUGCUUCGCCUCUAACGUUGAUCCAUCUAUUAUCAUCCAUGUGGACUCAAUCUUCCAGGAUUUGACAACCAUCUAAUGGUCACAAAAUGACCUCCAGACCGAACAGGACGAGCCGGCUCAAGUUGAUCCAGAAGCCUCUAGUGCAGAAGGCCAACAGAAGGACAUCAACCCGGAGGACUCAAGAGCCGGUGCGCAGGAUUACUACUCUAGCUUAAAAAACUUUGAUGAUUCUAGGGCCCAAAUUGGGUUCGUAAUAGUAGUAGCAAAAACACUUGGUCAUCUAUUGUGCCAUCAAGCACUUUGUACUUUGAAGUGUCAUCUUCUAAAGACUAUGAGCUGGUGCUUUUGAAUAGACAAACUUCUCUACCUAGUUUUCUUCAUUUUUAAAGAUAAUGAGUCGGCCUUUUGCAGCUAUAAGUCGAUAGGAUGAGAUCGUGUCGACGGUAUUAAGGGCCUUCAUAACUUUAUCAAGUAUUAUAAUUGGUCAUCGUGCGAUUGAGUAUGCCAUCAUCUUGAGAGGCUUAAAUUAAUAAACGGGACGUCUAUAGUUGAACCAACAAAGAAUGAUAACAGAAUUACUCCUUAAAGACAGAAUUUGAAGAUAUAUAUAACAUAAAUAAAUAAGUUGCAUAUUUUGCCGACUUUUGAAGCUUGGUGUUAGACCAACUUUAAAGGCUCAGGUCUUGCUUCAAUGAAGUUGGCACGGUAGUCCAUGGUUUAUCCUCACACUCUAUAAGCCGACUCUCACAUGACUUAAUCCAGUGUUUUAACCUUGAAAAGUUCAAGGUCCAUAUGGAUUGACUUAUCAAGAUUACACCGGGUCACCUUUUCGGUGUAGUGAUACAUAUCCAACGUAUCUAUAUUUUCUGACCAUUUCAUGCUAUUAUAUUAUCAUUAUAGGAUACUUUUUGAGUAAUUAUUUACCAAUUUAUAUUAUUUUUGAGAACUAACUAUUGACCCGGUGCCUAGUGCCCAGUGCCAGUUGCUAUUUUUUGUGUGUUUUUUGUAUCGCAGAAAUUCCAUAUUAAACAAAGUCCAAACUCGAUAAAAAUUUACAGAUAUUUUUUUGGAAUAUAGGUGGAUUUUUGGAGUCAGAAUCAACGCAAGACGAUUCUCGAGGGAGGAACAAGCCAACAGGGCGCAGCCUGGGGGUGGGGCCGCACGCUGAUGGCUUCUUCCCACCCCUUAAGUUGGUUGACGCUCUCUUCUGCCGCAACAAAGAAUGUUUUGUGAUAAAAAUCUCCUCAAAAUUUUAGCCCGAUCGGAUUUACGGAUCUCCAGAUAUUUAGGAAAUGAUGAAGGGCGAGAAACCACAGUCACGAAAUAGGAGAGAAACAUAGAGAGAGAGAGAGAUCCAAUCCCGGAGGGGCUGCUGCCCUCGGGGUGCGAUGGCGUCCAUGGACCAGAGGAGACACCCUACGCCCACAUAGUGAGGAGGCCAGGGAAGAAGAAGAAGGAGGGCUCUUUGAUGGCUUGUGGGGCCCACAUUUCUCUGUUUGGUGUGAUUCAAACACUCAAAAAUCCUAUAUAUAUAUAAGAAUCCCCAGAAAUGAAGAGAGAACUUCCACUCCACCGCCGCAACGCUCUAUAUUGAUGAAAAACCCAACUGGAGCCUUUCCAGUACCCUGCCGGAGAGGGGAAAUCAUCUUCGGUGGCCAUCUUGAUCAUCCCAACGUAGGCCAUGACAAGGAGUGAGUAGUUCGCCCUCGGGGCCGAGGGUAUGUACCUGUAGAUGUGUGUUCUAUCUCACGCACACACACACACACACACACACACACACUCUCAUGUUCUUGAGAUGGCACGAUCUUGAUGUAUCAUGGGCCUUGUUAAUCUAGUUGGAUUAUACGAUGUUAUUCCCUAGCUACCUUGUUGUGAUGAAUUGAAACCUUCCCUUUAAUAUCUCGUCAUGUUGGACUGAAUAUUUUGGUUUGAGAACACUUGAUGCAUGUCUUGCAUGCAGGUACCCAUAGUGAUAUUGGGGUAUUGAAGUGAUUCACUUGAUAUAUGUUAUGGCAUCUACUUGCGUAUUCCAAUGACCUUGGUGAGGGAGUCCUCGAGUAAGGGGUCCUCAGAUGGUCAGCCCAUCUUUUAUAGGUCGACCACAUGGGUCGUAUUAUCAAAGACAGGACUGCAUGACGACUUCAUGUUCAAGAAGUAAAGCUCCAAAGACUGGCAUAUCGUCCAAGUUUAGUAGUCUAAGUCGACGCCUCUGCCCUCGACUGAAGGUCGGUUGUAUGUAACCCUAGGAAACCUGGUGUCUAUAUAAAUCACAGGGUUUCAUCCGCAUAGGCAAGUUGAGUCAUCUAGGGUAAAGCUCAUAUGAUCUCGAGGUAGAUCAACUCUGUAAUCCUCAUACACCAUCAAUAUAAUCAAGCAGGACGUAGGGUUUUACCUCCUCAAGAGGGCCCGAACUUGGGUAAAUACCGUCUCCUUCGUCUCGAUCCAACGUCCACAGUUUGGGACCCCCUACGUGAGAUCUGCCGGUUUUGACACCGACAUUGGUGCUUUCAUUGAGAGUUCCGCUAUAGGAUCGCAGGAAGGAUUGAUGGCACGACUUGUAAUCCGCAAAGAGAUCCGCAGCAAGGACUUCUUUAUCCCCGGACAGAUCUUCGCGUCCGCAUGACUUGUAAUCCACAAAGAGAUCCACAUCAAGGACAUCUUUAUCCCCGGACAGAUCUUCGCGUCUAGAAGCAUCAUUCUACAUGCUGAUCCAGCCGACCACGUUAGCGAGGUGGGAAGCUUCACCCCUAGCCAGGAAGUAAGGUUCGGGAGCCUAGAGUUCACCACCAACCCUUGGGGAGAUCUUGUGUUAACAAGGCUCCUAGCUCCUUUCGAGGAGCCCACGAGUUCCGACGCCUCGACUUCAGAAGCCAUGGAUCCCGCUACCGGGGAAACUUUGACCCUUGGUCCGGUCUUAGAGCCCAACAUGGUCGAUACGCUCGGAUUCGGCUCGGCCGAACACGGCCCAGGAGUGUCCACGAACGAUCUCGGGGGUCUGCACUUCGGUCCGACACCGAACACUUGAACAAUACAGACUCCACCAAGACUCCGUUGCUACACGAGUUACUUGACCGGAUCUCCGAUCUAUGAUCGAGUCAGGAUUAGGCCCGGCGAUAGGGAAAUUUAUGUUCCACCCAUUACGCAUUUGGUCUCUACCAUCGAGUGCCCGGCUAAAGGCUCCCACAUCAGCUGCCGGAGUUAAGGACGAUCUAUGUCCCGAUUAUUGAACUUCCGGACUCCUCCAAUAAUCGAGAACCCGGAUCUCAUCCCGAGAUAAACUCGGGGCCAAGGGCCGACUAGGCACAUGACCCAGAACCAGUGCGGUAGGAUCUCCUCACAAUCACGGACUCUAACACCGCCGUACCAAACCCCGCAAAAGUGCGGGACGCGGUUGCCGAAGUCUCAGACUCGUACCUCGUGGGAUUGCAAAAUUUUACCCCACCCACAACCCAGCUCGAUCAUCCCUUGGGAAAAACGGAAGGGUUUAGCCUACCUCACCCGCACAAGGUCAAACAAUGGCGAGGGGAAUCAAUAAACCACUUUUUGGCUAGAUUCCUCCUUAACAAUGGUAGGGCAGAAGGCCUCGGUGACCAGGAGGUGAUCAAUGCCUUCCGACAUAGCUGGCAUGACGAGGCCAUCCUUAACAUCCUCUCUUGCCGCCGAGUCCAAACCUUCACCGAGCUGUCAAACCUGGUGCUCAAAUAUUGCACCAUGGAAAGCACUUGGCAAAUGUAGCUAAUGCACAUAGAGUCCAGACACAUCAAGCAAGCCACAGGAACCCGAAGAAGGCAUGCUCCCCCAUUCCCGGGGCCAAAUACAUCAGGAUCAAAGAGAAGAGGAAUAAAACGAGGACCAGAUCGGUCAUCGACACAUUACUAGACGAGCCUUGCCACGUACACUCGGCCUGCCAUAUAAAAGCUCCACCCAAAGCCUUCGAGCAUGUCGGGUCGUGAGACAAGUUGCAAAAAGUGGAGAGGUCAUCCUAAAGGCUCUGCUUGCGGAGGUCGGGACUGCCGCUCGUAAGCAACACAGAGAUCCUAACAAUCUACAUAACAUUUUCCUCCAAAAAUCAAAGAAAGAGAGUUCUUCGAGGGUUCCAUCAAAUUCAUCAUGUAGCGACGACAAGUCCAUGGUUGGACACACCAAUUAAUUUUGACAAGGACGACUAACCGAUCACUAGUACGGGCCGAGCACCGGCCACCCAAGUCCUAAACCCCAUACUCGAUGGCUUUCGACUGAAUAAGGUGUAAUGGAUGGUGUUAGUGGUAUAAACCUCAUUUACGAGGACACACUGGAAAAAAUACAGUUCGACAUAACUCAAAUCGAACAUAGAAACACCACAUUCCGAGGCAUCAUCCUCGGGAAAGAAGCACGCUGUACCGGAUGAGUAACACUCGACGUGGUAUUCAGCACGCCCGAGAACUACCAAUACGAAGAACUUCUUUUCCAUAUCGUGCCCUCUCAUAGUGGUUACCAUGCCCUGUUGGGACGCGAAGCCUUUACAAGAUUCCAAGCCAUACCACACUACGGGUACAUGAAGCUCAAAAUAAUAGGGCCGAAUGGUCUGAUCACAGUCAUAAGUGACCCCAACAGAGCCUUGUGAGCUGAAAAUAAAACGUAAUCCCUAGCCCUUGAGGUACUAGCGGAAACCCUCGCUGCAGAAGAGCUCACCAUAAUCCGCUCCAUAGUGGGCAAGUACGACGCGAUCCUUGACAAGCGGCCCAAGUCCACAUCCUUUAAACCAGCAGACGAGAUCAUCAAAUUUCACGUACAUCCAAUGGACCCCAACAAAAUGGAGUCCAUCGAAGCUUAGAUGGACCCCGCAAUCGACGAGGCGAUGCGUAGUUUUUUGCUCGAAAAUUGGGACAUCUUCGGCUGGCACCCCUCAGACAUGCCAAGAAUCCUGCGGGGGCUGGCCGAACACAACCUGAAUAUAAUAGCAGGCUUCAAACCUGUCAAACAUGCCUUGCGCCGAUUCUCCGAAUCAAAGUGUCAAGCCAGGGGCAAGGAACUGGCCAAACUACGAGAAGAAGGGUUCAUCAGAGAAAUUAAACAUCCCGACUGGUUGGCAAAUUUUGUCAUGGUACCAAAGAAUGACAAAUGUUGGCACAUAUGUGUCAAUUUCAAAGACCUUAUUAAGGCCUGCCCUAAGGAUCCUUUCCCCUUACCCUGAAUAGACCAAAUCAUCAACGCAACGGACGGACAAGAUUCUGUGUGUUUCCUUGAUGCCUAUUCCGGAUACCAUCAGAUUAAGACGGUGGAAUCCGAUCAGGCUGCAACUACCUUCAUAACCCCCUAUGGACCAUUCUGCUUUAAUACAAUGCCUUCCGGGGUUAAAGAAUGCGGGUGCCACUUACCAGCGCAUGAUCCAAACAUGUUUGGAAAAAAGUCGGAAAAAUAGUAGAGCCAUACGUGGACGAUAUGGUCGUCAAGAUCAAGCAUGUGGACCAGCUGGUAGAUGACCUCAGGCAUACCUUUGGCAGCCUACGAGAAUACGAUAUACGGCUUGACCCGGACAAGUGUGUCUUCAGAGUCUGAGCCGACGAAUUUCCCGGAUUCAUCAUGUCGCAAAGAGGAAUAGAGGCCAAUCCGACCAAGAUCUGAGCUCUGUCCCAACUCGCGGUUCCUACAAAGCUGAAGCAUGUACAAAAAUAGGCAGGCUGUGUUGCGGCUUUGAGCCGGUUUAUUUCUCACCUCAGCGAGAAAGCACUCCCACUUUAUAGGUUGCUUAAAAAGACCGAUAACUUCGAGUGGACCGAUGAAGCUGCGACUGCUCUAGAGGAAAUCAAAACGCUGCUCCCCAGCAACCCCAUCCUAGCAGCACCUUGCGCAGGAGUAUCGAUGUUGUUAUACAUCUCGACCACCAAUCAAGUAGUGAGCACGGUCCUCGUCUAGAACGGGAGGCCGAGGGGCACCAACUACGAAUAAAAAGACCAGUCUAUUACGCAUCCGAAGUGCUUACCCCAUGUAGAACCAGAUACCCACACUAUCAGAAGAUUGCCUACACAGUGUUUAUGGCAUCACGCAAGCUCAUGCACUACUUCCAAGAGUGCACGGCCACGAUAACAUCCGAGCUCCCCCAACACGACAUCAUUAAGAACAAGGACGCCACCGGCCGAAUGGCUAAAUGGGCCAUCGAACUCCUACCAUUCGAGAUUACCUACAAGCCACAACGAGCCAUCAAAUCUCAAGUGCUUGUCGACUUCGUUGCCGAAUGGAUAGAGGCAGAGCUCCCCAGGGAGUAUAACAGUUAUGCUCAUUGUACCAUGUACUUCAAUGGGUCCAAAAAUCUCGCCGGACUGGGGCUGGCGUAAUCCUCACAUCCCCUUCCAGGGAUAAUGUACGAUACGUUCUACAGAUCAUGUAUGACGAUUCGAAUAAUGUGGCAGAAUACGAGGCAAUACCACACGGUCUUUAGAUGGCAACCUCAAUGGGGAUACAACAGCUCGAGGUAUGGGGGAUUCCAACCUUUCCAUCUCACAAAUCAAUGGCGAAUUUGAUGCAAAAAAUCCAAAAAUGGCAGCAUACAAAAACGUCGUCCUCAAGAUAUCAGCAUGGUGCGAGGGAUUGGAGUUCCAUCACAUCUCGAGGGAUAACAACCAAGCCACAGACAUCCUCGCCCGCUUGGGCGCAAAGCAUGAUCAUGUCCCCCACAGCACUUUCCUAGAGAGGCUUUUCAAGCCAUCCGUGGUAUGGCAAGACGAGGAUACUAGCACGACAGCUGAUGGCGUGGCAUAGGUUACACCCCCGACACCCGAGACGGACAACCAGAUCAUCGGUGGAUCCACAAUCAAAGAAACACCUUCGGCUCACGAGGUCAUGGCAGUGAUGACCCCACACACAAAUGCCUUCCUUGCUUACCUUCUUCGCAAAGAGCUCCCAGACGACUGAUGACCCACAAGUGUAGGGGAUCUAUCGUAGUCCUUUCGAUAAGUAAGAGUGUCAAACCCAACGAGGAGCAGAAGGAACUGACAAGUGGUUUCCAGCAAGGUAUUCUGUGCAGGCACUGAAAUUAUCGGUAACAGAUAGUUGUGUGAUAAGAUACUUCGUAGCAAGUAGCAAGUAACAAUAGUAACAAAGGUGCAGAAAAGUGUCCCAAUCCCUUUUGUAGCAAGGGACAAGCCUGGACAAACUCUUAUAAGAGGUAAAGCGCUCCCGAGGACACAUAGGAAUUUCUGUCAAGCUAGUUUUCAUCAUGUUCAUAUGGUUCGCGUUCGCUACUUCGAUAUUUUGAUAUAUGGGUGGACCGGUGCUUGGGUGCUGCCCUUACUUGGAGAAUCAUCCCACUUAUGAUUAACCCCUCUCGCAAGCAUCCGCAACUACGAAAGAAGAAUUAAGACAAAGUCUAACCAUAGCAUUAAACUAGUGGAUCCAAAUCAACCCCUUACGAAGCAAUGCAUAAACUAGGGUUUAUGGUUCUGUCACUCUAGCAACUCAUCAUCUACUUUUUACUUCCCAAUGCCUUCCUCUAGACCCAAAUAUUGGUGAAGUGUCAUGUAGUCGACGUUCACAUAACACCACUAGAGGAAAGACAACAUACAUCGCAUCAAAAUAUCGAACGAAUACCAAAUUCACAUGACUACUUAUAGCAAGACUUAUCACAUGUCCUCAGGACAAAAGUGACUACUCACAAAGCAUAAUUAUGUUCAUGACCAGAGAGGUAAUGAAUAGAUUUAUGGAUCUGAACAUAUAAUCUUCCACCGAGUAAUCCAACUAGCAUCAACUACAAAGAGUAAUUAACACUACUAGCAACCUUACAAGUACCAAUCGGAGUCGCGAGACGGAGAUUGGUUACAAGAGAUGAACUAGGGUUCGGAGAUGAGAUGGUGCUAAUGAAGAUGUUGAUGGUGAUGAGUCCCCUCCGAUCAAAGGAGUGUUGGUGAUGACGAUGGCGACAAUUUCCCCCUCCGGGAGGGAAGUUUCCCCAACAGGACGGCCCUGCCGGAGCUCUAGAUUGGUUCUACUCAAGUUCCGCCUCGUGGUGGCGGCGAUUCCUCCCGAAAGCCUUCUCCUGAUUUUUUCUCGAACGAAACCCUCAUUAUAGCAAAAGAUGGGGGCCAGAGGGGCAACAGGGGUCCCACAAGCCACCUAGGCGCGACCAGGGGGGUAGGCCGCGCCUGGCAGGCUUGCGGCCUCCUGGUGGCUCCCCUCUAGUACUUCUUCCGCCCAGUAAUUUUUAUAAAAUCCAAAAUAUUUCCUCGUAGAUUUUCUCGGCUUUUGGAGUUGCGCAAAAUUGGUAUCUCAAACUUGCUCCUUUUUCAGACCAGAAUUCCAGCUGCCGGCAUUCUCCCUCUUCAUGUAAACCUUAUAAAAUAAGAGAGAAAAAGCAUAAGUAUUGUACCGUGAAGUGUAAUAACAGCCCAUAAAGCGAUAAAUAUCAACAUAAAAGCAUGAUGCAAAAUAGACGUAUCAACUCCCCCAAGCUUAGACCUCGCUUGUCCUCAAGCGGAAGCCGAGAUCAAUAAAUAUGCCCACAUGUUUAGAGAUAGAGGUGUCGGUAAAACAAAAUACGGACAUGCAUGCAUCAUGAUCAUAAUUAGAACAGCAAUAGGGUCAUAUAAACUCUUAUGCUAAAGUGACAAUUCUUUCACAAAGUAAAGUAUGGGUCAAGAACCUUAUUGAGAAUUAACAACCAAUAGCCUUUAGUCAUUGAAGCAAUUGCAAUUUAUCAUAACAUCGGAAAGAGUCAAAUAAGAGGUUGUAAAGCAAAUCCACAUACUCAAUCAUCCUUUCGUCUUUUACAAUUGCUAAAACUCAUGUGGUACUCAUGAGAUCAAAGUUUCAAUUGGACACAGAGAAAGAUAGGGGCUUAUAGUUUCACAUCCCAACUACUUACCUCAAGGGUAAUGUCAACAAUAAUAAUUCAUGGAUACUUACUUCCAAGUUGACAUAUGAAUAUAGAUCUUUCCAUAGCACAAGACGUUAGCCAAGAUAAUGGCGAAAUAAGGAAUUGGUGUAGAUCACCAUGACUCUUUUAAGGACAAAAAGUAAAGGUACAAGAUAGGCCCUUCGGAGAGGGAAGUAGAGGUUGUCAUGCGCUUUUGAGGUUUGUAUGUGUGACCUCUUAGUAGGAAGGAACGUCACUUUAUAUUGCCUCCCGUGAUAAAGAACUUUAUUAUGAAGUCUGUCGCUUUUAUGUCUUCCUCAUCACAGGUUCGUACAAAGGUUAUUUUCCACACAGUAAUAGAUCAUACAUAUUUAGGGAGCAAGUUUUAUUGCUUGCACCGAUGACAACUUAGUUGAGGGAUCUUCUUCAAUCCAUAGGUAGGUAUGGUGGACUCUCAUGGCAAAAAUUUGUUGAAGGUUUAUGGAUGCACAAGUAGUAUCUCUAUUUAGUGCGGAAGUUUUGGCUGAUAUGAGGUGGAAGCAAGCGUCACAUGCUAAGGGAUCUUAUUCAUAUAACAUUGUUCGGAACCAAGCAAACAUAAUUCAUUAUGUUGUCUUCCUUGUCCAACAUCUACUUCUAAGCAUGUAAUAGUUUAAUGAGUGUGCACAAUCAUAGAUGGUGUCCAAGAUGAUAUAUUUAGAUGUGAACCUCUCCUUCUUUAUUACUUCCUAUUAAUUGCAACAAUGACCAAAGUUUACGUUUGUCCACCCACAACAAGUUUCAAUCAACAUUCUUUUUAUAUGUGAAGUCAUCACUUUCCA
rnacentral:lncRNA from 1 species